rnacentral:lncRNA from 1 species
CUUUUCUAUUUCAUCUUGGUUUAGUCUUGGAAGAUUGCACCUUUCUAAGAAUUUGUCCAUUUCUUCUAGGUUUUCUGUUUUAUUGGUGUACAGUUGUAUAUACUAGUUCCUUAUGAUCCUUUGUAUUUCUGUGAUGUCUGUUGUUACUUCUCCUUUUUCAUAUCUAAUUUUAUUGAUUUGAGUCUUCUCUCUUUUUUUCUUGAUAAGUCUGGCUAAGGGUAUAUCAAUUUCAUUGAUCUUUUCAAAGAAUCAACUUUUCGUUUCAUUGAUCUUUUCUAUGGUUUUCUUUGUUUCUGUUUCAUUGAUUUCUGCUCUGAUCUUUAUGAUUUCUUUCCUUCUACUACCUUUAGUUCUUGUCUGUUCUCUCUCUAGCUGCUUUAGAUAUAAAGUUAUCUUGUUUAUCUGAGCUUUUCCUUGUUUCCUGAGGUGGGCUUGUAUUGCUAUAAACUUUCCUCUUAGAAUGGCUUUUGCUGUAUCCCAUAGGUUUUGGAGUAUUGUAGCUUUGUUGUCAUUUGCUUCUAGGUAUUUUUUAAUUUCUUCAGUGAUCCAUUGGUUGUUUAGUAGCUUGUUGUUUAGUCUUUAUGUGUUUGUGCUUUUUGUAGUUUUUUUUUUUUUGAUUUCCAAUAUGUAGCAUUGUGGUCAGAAAAGAUGCUUGAUAUGAUUUCAAUUUUCUUAAAGUUACUUAGGUUUGAUUUAUAGCCCAGGAUGUGAUCAAUCUUAGAGAAUGUUCCAUGUGCACUUGAGAAGAAUGUGUAUUCUGUUGCUUUUGGAUGGAAUGUCCUAUAAAUAUCUAUUAAGUCCGUCUGGUCUAAUGCUUCAUUCUGGGCCUGUGUUUCCUUAUUGAUGAUCUGUCUGGAUGAUCUGUCCAUUGCUGUAAGUGGGGUGUUAAAGUCCCCCACUAUGAUUGUGUUAUUGUUGAUUUGUCCUUUUAAGGUUGUUAGCAGUUGCCUUAUAUAUUAUGGUGAACCUGUGUUGGGUGUGUAGAUAUUUAAAAUUGUUAUAUCUUCUGUAGUUCCCGUCAUGGUGCAGGAUUAAUGGAUCCAACUGGGAACCAUGAGGUUGAGGAUUCGAUACCUGGCCUUGCUCAGGGGGUUAAGGAUCCGGCAUUGCCUUGAGCUGUGGUGUAUUUUGCAGACACAGCUCAGAUCCCAUGUUGCUGUGGCUCUGGCCGAGGCUGGUGGCUACAUCUCUGAUUAGACCCCUAGCCUGGGAACCUCCAUAUGCCACGGCAGUGGCCCCAGGAAGGCAAAUAGACAAAAUAAAUAAAUAAAAUAAAAUUGUUCUAUCUGCUUCUUCUUGGAUUGAUAUUUUGAUUGUUAGGUAGUGACCUUCCUUGUCCCUUAAAAUAUUCUUCAUUUUAAAGUCUAGUUUGUCUGUUAUGAGUAUUGCUACUCCAGCUUUCUUUUGAUUCCCGUUUCCAUGGAAUAUUUUCUUUCAUCCUCUCACUUUCAAUUUGUAUGUGUCCCUGAAGUGAAAUGGGUCUUUUGAAGACAGCAUAUAUAUAGGUCUUGUUUUUGUAUCCAUUCAGCCAGUCUGUGUCUUUUGGUUUGGGCGUUUAGUCCAUUAACAUUUAAGGUAAUUAUUGAUAUGUAUGUUCAUAUUGCCAUUUUAUUAAUUGUUUGGAUUUGUUUUUGAUGCUCUUUUUCUUCCCUUCUUCUCUUGUUCUCUCCUCUUGUGGUUUGAUGACUAUCUUUAGUGUUGUAUUUGAGUUGAUUUGUCUUAUUCGUGUAUCAAUUGUAGAUUUUUUGUUUGCAGUUAUUCUGAAAUUUUAAUAUAAGAGUCUAUAUGAGAUUGUUUUAAGUUGUUGGUCUCUUAGUUGCAAGGGCAUCUCCAUUGUCCUGCAUUUGUAUCCUCCUCUUCUCACAAUUUCUGAUUUCGGUGGCAUAGUUGUGUGUGGAUUAUUUCCUAUCUUUACUGUAUAUAUACCCUUACUGGUGAGCCUUGUCAUUUGUGGUAUUUUUGUUCUGGUUGUGGCCUUUUCUUUUCUGCCUAGAGAAGUUCCCUUAGUGUUUGUUGUAAAGUUGGCUUAGUGUUGCUGAAUUCUCUUAGCUUUUGCUUAUCUGUGAAGCUUUUGAUUUCUCCUUCAAAUCUGAAUGAGAGCCUUGCUGGGUAAAGUAAUCUUGGCUGGAGGUUUUUUUCCUUUCAUCCUGUUAAGUAUAUUAUGCCACUCCCUUCUGGCCUGCAUAGUUUCUGCUGGAAAAUCUACUGAUAAGCUUAUUGGGGUUCUGUUGUAUAUUAUUUGUUUCUUUUCCCUAGCUGCUUUUUUUUUUUUUUUUUUUUUUUUUGCCUUUUUUAGGGCCACUUCCACAGCAUAUGGAGUUUCCCAGGCUACGGGUCCAGUUGGAGCUUUAGCCGCUGGCCGACACCAGAGCCACAGCAACACUGGAUCCUUAACCCACUGAGCAAGGUCAGGUAUCGAACCUGCAACCUCAUGGUUCCUAGUCAGAUUCGUUAACCACUGCACCACGAUGGAACUCCUUUCCUAGCGGCUUUCAAUAUUUUCUCAUUGCCUUUAAUUUUGGUCAAUUUGAGUAAUGUGUCUUGGGGUGUGCCUCCUUGGGUUUAUUUUAUAUAGUACUUGUUGGGCUUCCUGGAUUUGAGUGAGUAGUUCCUUUCCCAUGUUAGGGAAGUUUUUGGCUGUUAUCUCUUUGAAUAUUUUUUCUGUCCCUUUCUUUCUCUCUUGUCCUUCUGGCACCCAUAUAACAUGGAUGUUGGUGCGUUUAACAUGGUCCCAGAGUUCUCUGAGACUCUCUUCAUUGUUUUUCAAUCUUUUUUCUCUUUUCUGUUCUGCAUUGGUGAUUUCCACUAGUAUGUCCUCCACCUUGCUUAUUUGUUCUUCUGCCUCCUAUAUUCUGCUGUUGGCUGCUUCUGAUGAAUUUUUAUUUAAGUUACUGUAUUUUGCAUCUCUUCUUGUUUAAGUUUUAUAUCUUGUGUCUCUUUGCUCAGUGUUUCCUGUAAAUUAUUCGUCUUUGCCUCCAGUUUAUUUCAAAUGUCUUGCAUCAUCUUCAGCAUCAACAGUCUAAAGUCUUUUUCCUGGAGGCUGAGAAUCUCCUGAUCACUUAGCUGUUUUUCUGAGUUUUUUUCUUUUUCUCUCCUCUUAGUUAUAGUUCUCUGUCUUUUCAUUUUUAUAGGUUUUUGGCGUUGUGAACUUUCUGCAGACGAUAGAGUUGUAGCAUCUCUUACCUCUGGCAUCUGCCCCCCUUGUGGCUGAAGUUUGUAUGGGGGCUUGCUGUAGGCUUCCUGAUGGGAGGGAUUGAUGCCUGCCCAGUGUUAGGUGGAGCUGAUUCCUAUCCCUCUGGUGGGUGGGGCUUUGUCUCUGGGUGAGAUUAGAGGCGUCUGUGUGCCUGUGUGGUCUUUAGGCAGCCUGUUUACUGAUGGGCAGGGCUGUGAUACCACCUGGAUUGUUGUUUGGCUGGGGGCUUCUCAGCAAUAAUGGGUGGAGCCAGAUUUUCCCAAAAUGGCCACCUCCAGAGAAAGGCACAUUGAGGAAUAUUCCCGAGAGCUUUGCUUACAACGUCCUUCCCCCACAACAAGACCCAUUCACCCCUGUUUUUCCAGGAGGUCCUCCAAGAAUUGCAGUCAGGUCUGAUCCAGAUUCCUUUGGAAACUUUGCUUCCCCCUGGGACCCAGUGCACGUGAAAGUGUGUGUGCCUUUUAAGAAUGGGGUCCCCAUUUCCGCCACUGCUGUGGAGCUCUUGCACACAAGCCACACUGGCCUUCAAUGCCAGAUGCUCUGGGGGCUCUUUCUCCCAGUUGCAGAUCCCCACACAUGAGGGUUUGAUAUGGGGCUCAAAACUCUCACUCCUGUAGGUGAGUCUCUGUGAACCAGUUACUUUCCAGUCUGUGGGACUUCCCAUCCGGGAGGUAUGGGGUUGCUUAUAUCACAUAAUCACCCCUCUUACCUCUUGAUGUGGCCUCCUCCCUAUCUCCUGGAGUAGGAUAUCUUUUUUAAGGUUUCCGGUCCAUUUGAGUGAAGAUUGCGCAGCCUUUGGUUGUAAAUUUUGUUGUUUUUAGGAGAGAAGUUAAGCUUCAGUCCUUCUAUUCCACCAUCUUAAUCCCCCAGCCCAUAACAUCUAUUUGAUUGAAACGAUAUAGCUCUUCUGGCCUCUGCAGUUCCUUAACAACACUGACUCACGUUGUUGCAUCACCCAUCCCAUGGUCUGUGAACAUUAGAUUCCAGUGACCUUCAAAAGUUGGUACUGUGCUUUGUGGAUGAGGGCUUCUAGCCAGAGCAUGCAGAAAAAUGUGAGCAAGCCCUUAUUUCCAGAUCAUGUUAGAUUUACCUGGAACUGUCAUUCUUAAAGGAAUCAAUAUUCUAAGCAGUACAUAUAGGCAGACUUGCACAGUUGGACUGGGUCAGCAGCUCUUAUUUAAUGGUACCACCCAUUAAGCAGAGAUUGGCAGUGGGGCGUGAGUAGGUGCUUAACAGGGAUGGAAGGACUGGCCCUUCACAACCCAGGCUUGUUCUUCAUGAUUCCCUAAAAGAACCCUUUAAGCAUCUUUCAGACUUCUUUAAUGAGCUCUCUGCUUUGGUAGUGUUUCCUUCUGUGCUUGUUUGUAGAGGUCACUACACUUGCAUGGGAAUACCACCCAAGGAAUGUGUGCAGUGGUUGGAGAGCCAAGCAAGAGGGAGAUUCUGCCCCUUCUUCAGAGCAUUUCUGAAUUUAGAGGCCUGAAAGGAAGUCUUUUUGCCAAGUGUGGUUUGGAAUUCAAACUUAAUGCCAGAGCCACCACACCUUUUUUAGCGCAAUUACCGCUUAACCAAACAUUUCUGAGUUCUUUAAAAUGGGUCCCCUUCGUCACUUAAAUAUUUUAGUAUUUAAAAUAUUUAAAUACUAAAUAUUUCAGCUCUUCUCUGAACUUUGUCUAAGUUUUACACAAUUUUAGUAAUAAAGUGCUCUUUAGGGAAUGCAGUGUCCAGGUGCAGUGACCUUGCCAGAGCAUUUGGUGCAGUGGGAGAGAGCAAGAGAAAGAUAACAGCCACCCAAUAUCCCUCAGGCUCUCCUAAAUGAAUGGCAGCUUUCCAACAAAUAGAGUUGAGCUCACCAUAAAUGCAUAGGUGAGUAGACUAGAAAUUGCCCUUUCCUUGAUUCAGGUGGAAGAAAAGCCCGUGGCCUGCCAGCAAGUAGUGAGUGUAUGUGCAAAGUUGAAAUCCUUCACCUGAAAUGACAUGGUAGCCCUACUUAACAAUGAUAUUCUAAAGCAGAGGCUGAGAAGUUCUUAAUAGGGAUAUUUUGAGGAAGGCAAUGGCCUAACCUGAAAGUUACUAUUGUUCUAUCUUUUUUCAGUAUUUAUGCCAUACUUGUAUAAAUCAGAUCAUUGAAAUAUUGUUUAUCAUCUUUGUUUUCUCAUUUUUUAAAUCUGAAAGGAAAUCUGAUGAAAUUGAAGUCACUUCAAGUUGAAUGAUUUCCUCAAUGGUCAGGCAAUGGAAAAGUCAGAAUGGUACCCUGUAUAUGUGUGACUUCAAACCCUGUACUUUUCACUUAACUCUAAACAAACUAGCAAACCAAACAAAAACACUCCCACCCCUGUAUCCUGUAACACUGGUUCAGAAAUAGACUUUUUGGCAAGUCUUUGGCCUUUUAAUUUAGUUACAGUAUCUUUUGUGUCCAUUAUUUGAAAAAAUCUUAUAGUCAUUGGUUCACUUUUUUUUUUUUUUUUCCCGGAUAACUCUCUUUUAUACCAAAAGUAAAAUUCCAAAGAUAUCAGCACCUGGUACUAAAGUAAAAGUAAGUUAUAUCAGAGUUUGUUGGGCUUCUGGGAGACCUUAAUAAGGAUUUUUAAGGUUUAAAUACAAAAGUCAAUAAUAAAUUCCUAAAAAAUAUAGUGUACUCAUUUCUUGAUAUUUGGGACACUUAAACAAGAAUUUAACAGUCUGAUUCUAGGGCUAAUUAAGCAUGUGUAUAAUGGACCACCCUAAGAAAUAUAUUAAUAAGUUAUUCAUGCAUGAAACUGCAUAUCUCUGUGGCAACUAAUAUUAGAACUAUAUUUACAAUGCAGAAGUGUUACUAUAAAACAAAACUAAGCAAAGAGAACCAUACCAGAAGGAGUAUAAUAUUUAAUGACAAAUAUGCAUAUAAUGUAUCCUUUUAAAAAUACUUUUUUAUAAUCAUGAGAACAUAAGAUUUUGACCAAAAUGUUACUAUUUCCCACAACCCUGGAAGAUCACUUGCUAUUAACAUUCUCAGUUCACUGCUGCUAACAUGAGGUCACGUGCUGUCAGUAUGGGAAUUGGGCAUUUGUUCCAAGCUCCAUGUUCUAUUAUGGAAUCUCCCUAAUCAUUGCAGAAUGACUGUUAUCAAUAAGAAACCUAUAAUCAAGUGAGGAUUUAGAGAGAAUAGGAUAUUAAAUAUUGCACUCUGGAUUAUUCUUCCCUUCUGUAAUCUAAUAACCCUUUGUAUCAGCCCUAUCCAUCUCUGGAGACUGAGUUCUAGAGGUCUUUGAACACAGCUGGACUCUCAGGUAGUUUGGUCUUCAGGGACUGACAGACUUAAAAUAACUUUGAAUAGUUAAGUCUGACCACGUGUGAAGUGGCAGUUGCCUUUUAAUUUUAAUGGAAUAUUUUAGAGCAUUUUUAUGGAAAAGCUCUUAAAGUUCUUUUUUUUUUUCACUACCUUAAUGAAAGGGGAAAAUGUGUUGCUGUUGCUAUUAUUUUUUGUAAUAAAUUUAAAGCAGUUCCUGCAAAUCUUAACAAGUAGAAUCAAAUAUUUAAUGCUUUUGGCAAAACACCUUUGUAAAAUUUCCAGAGCAAAAUAAACCAUUCUGCAUUUAAACUUCUUUGAAUAAAACAUUCUGAAUUUCUAAGAGGACUUACAUCAUGUACCAAUAUUUCCAAGUUAAUUUAGUAUGUGGAAUCAUCAAACCACAGUACAACAAUAGUUAUUCUUUUUCAUAUGAAAAGAUUUAUGCUCAAAAUUUUAAACCAGGACAGAAAGCUAGCUCACAAAAAAAGGAAUAUUAUAUGUAGAAACACACUUUUUUUGCACUGUAUUUCUUUUAUGUAUUUAAAUCAGGGUGUCUUCAGACACCUGCUUUUGAAAUAAGCUGCAUUGUAAAAGAUGUUGACACUCUUAACUCUGGAAUUUCACCAAGACUGAUUAUUUUAAACCAGAGGCUAUGAUUUGCUGG